rnacentral:tRNA from 1 species
GGGGCUAUAGCUCAGCUGGGAGAGCGCUUGCAUGGCAUGCAAGAGGUCGACGGUUCGAUCCCGUAUAGCUCCACCA